CCUACGGGAGGCAGCAGUGGGGAAUUUUGGACAAUGGGCGCAAGCCUGAUCCAGCAAUGCCGCGUGAGUGAAGAAGGCCUUCGGGUUGUAAAGCUCUUUUGUCAGGGAAGAAACGGCUGAGGCUAAUAUCCUCGGCUAAUGACGGUACCUGAAGAAUAAGCACCGGCUAACUACGUGCCAGCAGCCGCGGUAAUACGUAGGGUGCAAGCGUUAAUCGGAAUUACUGGGCGUAAAGCGUGCGCAGGCGGUUUUGUAAGUCUGUCGUGAAAGCCCCGGGCUUAACCUGGGAAUUGCGAUGGAGACUGCAAGGCUUGAAUCUGGCAGAGGGGGGUAGAAUUCCACGUGUAGCAGUGAAAUGCGUAGAGAUGUGGAGGAACACCGAUGGCGAAGGCAGCCCCCUGGGUCAAGAUUGACGCUCAUGCACGAAAGCGUGGGGAGCAAACAGGAUUAGAUACCCUGGUAGUCCACGCCCUAAACGAUGUCUACUAGUUGUCGGGUCUUAAUUGACUUGGUAACGCAGCUAACGCGUGAAGUAGACCGCCUGGGGAGUACGGUCGCAAGAUUAAAACUUAAAUGAAUUGACGG
rnacentral:rRNA from 1 species